rnacentral:rRNA from 1 species
GAUGAACGCUGGCGGCGUGCUUAACACAUGCAAGUCGAACGGAAAGGCCCAAGCUUUCUUGGGUACUCGAGUGGCGAACGGGUGAGUAACACGUGGGUGAUCUGCCCUGCACUUCGGGAUAAGCCUGGGAAACUGGGUCUAAUACCGGAUAGGACCACUUCUUGGAUGUUGUGGGGGAAAGUUUUUUCGGGGUGGGAUGUGCUCGCGGCCUAUCAGCUUGUUGGUGGGGUGAUGGGCUACCAAGGCGUCUACGGGUGGGCGGGCUUAGAGGGUGUACGGCCAAAAUGGGACUGGGGUACGGCCCAAGCCCCCACGGGGGGGAAGCGGGGGGAAUAUUGCAACAUGGGCGCAAGCCCGAUUGCGCGACGGCGGGGGGGGGAUGACCGGCUUCGGGUUUGAAACCCCUUUCGCUAGGGACGAAGCGGUUUGUGACGGUAACUGGUGAAGAAGCACCGGCUAACUACGUG